rnacentral:rRNA from 1 species
CAAGUCGAGCGAACGGACGAGAAGCUUGCUUCUCUGAUGUUAGCGGCGGACGGGUGAGUAACACGUGGAUAACCUACCUAUAAGACUGGGAUAACUUCGGGAAACCGGAGCUAAUACCGGAUAAUAUUUUGAACCGCAUGGUUCAAAAGUGAAAGACGGUCUUGCUGUCACUUAUAGAUGGAUCCGCGCUGCAUUAGCUAGUUGGUAAGGUAACGGCUUACCAAGGCAACGAUGCAUAGCCGACCUGAGAGGGUGAUCGGCCACACUGGAACUGAGACACGGUCCAGACUCCUACGGGAGGCAGCAGUAGGGAAUCUUCCGCAAUGGGCGAAAGCCUGACGGAGCAACGCCGCGUGAGUGAUGAAGGUCUUCGGAUCGUAAAACUCUGUUAUUAGGGAAGAACAUAUGUGUAAGUAACUGUGCACAUCUUGACGGUACCUAAUCAGAAAGCCACGGCUAACUACGUGCCAGCAGCCGCGGUAAUACGUAGGUGGCAAGCGUUACCCGGAAUUAUUGGGCGUAAAGCGCGCGUAGGCGGUUUUUUAAGUCUGAUGUGAAAGCCCACGGCUCAACCGUGGAGGGUCAUUGGAAACUGGAAAACUUGAGUGCAGAAGAGGAAAGUGGAAUUCCAUGUGUAGCGGUGAAAUGCGCAGAGAUAUGGAGGAACACCAGUGGCGAAGGCGACUUUCUGGUCUGUAACUGACGCUGAUGUGCGAAAGCGUGGGGAUCAAACAGGAUUAGA